UUACGGCCAUAUCGCGUUGAAACGUCGGUUCUCGUACGAUCAUCGAAGUUAAGCAACAUCGAGUCUGGGCAGUACCUAGAUAGGUCACCGCUUGGAAAUACCAGGUGCUGUAA